AGCCGGGAAAAAAUUUUGAUGAAAGAUGGUCUCGCGGCCUAUCAGCUAGUUGGUGAGGUAAUGGCUCACCAAGGCGACGACGGGUAGCCGGCCUGAGAGGGCGACCGGCCACACUGGGACUGAGACACGGCCCAGACUCCUACGGGAGGCAGCAGUGGGGAAUAUUGGGCAAUGGGCGCAAGCCUGACCCAGCGACGCCGCGUGAGGGAUGAAGGCCUUCGGGUUGUAAACCUCUUUCAGUAGGGAAGAAGCGAAAGUGACGGUACCUAAAGAAGAAGCACCGGCUAACUAUGUGCCAGCAGCCGCGGUAAUACAUAGGGUGCAAGCGUUGUCCGGAAUUAUUGGGCGUAAAGAGCUCGUAGGUCGUUUGUCGCGUCGAUUGUGAAAAUCUGAGGCUCAACCUCAGACCUGCAGUCGAUACGGGCAAACUAGAGUGUGGUAGGGGAGACUGGAAUUCCUGGUGUAGCGGUGGAAUGCGCAGAUAUCAGGAGGAACACCAAUGGCGAAGGCAGGUCUCUGGGCCAUAACUGACACUGAGGAGCGAAAGUGCGGGGAGCGAACAGGAUUAGAUACCCUGGUAGUCCGCACCGUAAACGGUGGGCACUAGUUGUGGGAACCUUCCACGGUUUCCGCGACGCAGCAAACGCAUUAAGUGCCCCGCCUGGGGAGUACGAUCGCAAGAUUAAAACUCAAAGGAAUUGACGGGGCCCCGCACAAGCAGCGGAGCAUGCGGCUUAAUUCGACGCAACGCGAAGAACCUUACCAAGGCUUGACAUAUAGCGAAAAGUGGCAGAGAUGUCAUGUCCGCAAGGGCGCUAUACAGGUGGUGCAUGGUUGUCGUCAGCUCGUGUCGUGAGAUGUUGGGUUAAGUCCCGCAACGAGCGCAACCCUCGUUCUGUGUUACCAGCAUUCAGUUGGGGACUCACAGGAGACUGCCGGGGUCAACUCGGAGGAAGGUGGGGAUGACGUCAAAUCAUCAUGCCCCUUAUGUCUUGGGCUGCACGCAUGCUACAAUGGCCGGUACAAAGUGCUGCGAAAUCGUAAGAUUUAGCGAAUCACAUAAAGCCGGUCUCAGUUCGGAUUGAGGUCUGCAACUCGACCUCAUGAAGU
rnacentral:rRNA from 1 species